rnacentral:rRNA from 1 species
AUCUUCCGCAAUGGGCGAAAGCCUGACGGAGCAACGCCGCGUGCGGGAUGACGCCCUUCGGGGUGUAAACCGCUUUUCUUCGGGAAGAACGCCCCGCGAGGGGCCUGACGGUACCGGAGGAAGAAGGACCGGCUAACUACGUGCCAGCAGCCGCGGUAAUACGUAGGGUCCGAGCGUUGUCCGGAGUUACUGGGCGUAAAGCGCGCGCAGGCGGCGGUGUAAGCAUGGCGUGAAAGCCCCAGGCUCAACCUGGGAGGGUCGUCGUGGACUGCACCGCUUGAGGGCGGUAGGGGCUGGUGGAAUGCCUGGUGUAGUGGUGAAAUGCGUAGAGAUCAGGCGGAACACCCGUGGCGAAGGCGGCCAGCUGGGCCGUCCCUGACGCUGAGGCGCGAAGGCGUGGGGAGCGAACGGG